rnacentral:rRNA from 1 species
AGCGAACGCUGGCGGCAUGCUUAACACAUGCAAGUCGCACGACCGGGUUUCGGCCUGGGAGUGGCGGACGGGUGAGUAUCGCGUAGGGAUUUGUCGUUGGGGUGGGGGACGAACCUUAGGGAAACGUGGGGCGUAAUACCGCAUGACGCCUUUGGGCCAAAGCUCGAGAGGGCGCCUGACGAGGAGCCUGCGUCCGAUUAGGUAGUUGGUUGGGUGAUGGCUGACCAAGCCUGCGANCGGUAGCUGGUCUGAGAGGAUGGCC